AGAGUUUGAUCCUGGCUCAGGAUGAACGCUAGCUACAGGCUUAACACAUGCAAGUCGAGGGGCAGCAUGUUGGUUGCUUGCAACCAAUGAUGGCGACCGGCGCACGGGUGAGUAACGCGUAUCCAACCUACCCUUGUCCAUCGGAUAACCCGUCGAAAGGCGGCCUAACACGAUAUGCGGUUCACAGCAGGCAUCUAAGGUGAGCGAAAUGUGAAGGAGAAGGAUGGGGAUGCGUCUGAUUAGCUUGUGCGGGUAACGCCACAAGGCGACGAUCAGUAGGGUUCUGAGAGGAAGGUCCCCCANAUUGGAACUGAGACACGGUCCAAACUCCUACGGGAGGCA
rnacentral:rRNA from 1 species